rnacentral:rRNA from 1 species
GACGAACGCUGGCGGCGUGCUUAACACAUGCAAGUCGAACGGAAAGGCCCUGCUUUUGUGGGGUGCUCGAGUGGCGAACGGGUGAGUAACACGCGAGUAACCUGCCCUUGACUUUGGGAUAACUUCAGGAAACUGGGGCUAAUACCGGAUAGGAGCUCCUGCUGCAUGGUGGGGGUUGGAAAGUUUCGGCGGUUGGGGAUGGACUCGCGGCUUAUCAGCUUGUUGGUGGGGUAGUGGCUUACAAAGGCUUUGACGGGUAGCCGGCCUGAGAGGGUGACCGGCCACAUUGGGACUGAGAUACGGCCCAGACUCCUACGGGAGGCAGCAGUGGGGAAUAUUGCACAAUGGGCGGAAGCCUGAUGCAGCAACGCCGCGUGCGGGAUGACGGCCUUCGGGUUGUAAACCGCUUUCGCCUGUGACGAAGCGUGAGUGACGGUAAUGGGUAAAGAAGCACCGGCUAACUACGUG